CCUACGGGUGGCUGCAGUGAGGAAUAUUGGUCAAUGGUCGGGAGACUGAACCAGCCAAGCCGCGUGAGGGAUGAAGGUCCAGCGUAUCGUAAACCUCUUUUGUCAGGGAACAAAGUCGGGGACGCGUCCCCGGAUGAGUGUACCUUACGAACAAGCAUCGGCUAACUCCGUGCCAGCAGCCGCGGUAAUACGGGGGAUGCGAGCGUUAUCCGGAUUUAUUGGGGUGAAAGGGUGCGCAGGCGGGCUGUUAAGUCAGCGGUCAAAGCCCGGGGCUCAGCCCCGGCCCACCGUUGAAACUGGCAGUCUCGAGUGGGAGAGAAGUAGGCGGAAUGCGAGGUGUAGCGGUGAAAUGCAUAGAUAUCGCGCAGAACUCCGAUUGCGAAGGCAGCAUGCCGGCUCCAAACUGACGCUGAGGCACGAAAGCGUGGGUAUCGAACAGGAUUAGAUACCCCAGUAGUC
rnacentral:rRNA from 1 species